UACAGAGGUCUCAAGCGUUGUUCGGAUUUAUUGGGCGUAAAGGGUGCGUAGGCGGCGCGGUAAGUCGGGUGUGAAAUCUCGGAGCUUAACUCCGAAACUGCAUUCGAUACUGCCGUGCUUGAGGACUGGAGAGGAGACUGGAAUUUACGGUGUAGCGGUGAAAUGCGUAGAUAUCGUAAGGAAGACCAGUGGCGAAGGCGGGUCUCUGGACAGUUACUGACGCUGAGGCACGAAGGUCAGGGGAGCAAACGGG
rnacentral:rRNA from 1 species